rnacentral:lncRNA from 1 species
UGUAAAACAAGAAAUUAAGAUACACAUCUGUAAAAGGCACCCUAUUGCUGUGGUUGCUUUACUUCUCUCAUUGAUUUGCCUAUUAUGGCUUCAGUGUAAAAUUACUAGAAUACAUGUAUAAGCAAGAAAGGAUUGGAAUCUUGAACCAUUGACAGAUGUUAAGUGUACCAUAUGAAUACAAUAUCAGGCCAGGUACUUUUUGUAUAAAAAUGGGGUAUCACUAUCAAUGAAUGGGACAGCAACA